GGGCUUUACAGAGGGAGAUUUGCUGAGAGGGUGACUUGUUAAAGGUCGCAGUCAUUUUUGUAGUGGUUGGAAGUGCUAUGAAUGGUGGAAAAUGUCAACUCACAGAUUCUACUCUUCUUCUUGUCCCCCUCCCCCUUUCUCCCUCUGUAAGCCAGGGGUGGGUCUAAAUGGCUUUGGUGGAGAGGUUAGCACAUCCCAAUCUAAAUAGGAAGUUUGGUGUCUCUCCCUCCUCCCUUCCUUCCCACCUUCCUUAUUCCUUUCCUUUGUUUCUAAAGGAUGUGUUUGUAUGCAUUCUGGACGUUUGAAUUAAAAACAAAAAUAUUGUGAUCCAGAAAAGGAUCACUAGAGAUGUGGACAAAUCAUUAAAAUUACAGAGCUAUAUGAUCCAUAAUUGAUUAGUCAAAAUAACUUAUUGAUGAAAUAUACAAAUAUUUUAUUGUAGCACCUAUUUUUAUAUGCACAUUUAGCAUUCCUCUUUCCUUCACUAUUUAGCCUAUGAUUUUCGCAGAGGUGUCACAUUGUAUCAGGAGCUGCGUUUCCAAAACUGAAGUGAUUAUCCAGAAGGCAUUUUAGAUCAUUAAAAAUAUGGAGCACUUAAUGGCAAAAUCUUUAAAAGCCAAUGCAACCCACUCAGUUGAACCUGUAUUUUUCUAUACUGAUUGUAUCCCACUGUAUAAAAGAAAAAAAGUUAGGGUGACUAAUUGGGCCAUUCAAGAGAAUUGUGUGCAAGAUUUUGGUUUUAUUAGAGAAGAUUUAAAAGUAUUUUUAUUAGUGAACCAAAACUGUGUAUUGAUUUGACUACUAUUGUAGCCGAGUUUCAAUUGUUUAGCCAAACCCACUUGCAUUUGUACAGAUCCACAUGUACUGGCACCUCAGAAGACCAAAAGACAGCCUGUUACAAGUCUUAUACAACAAUGUCUUUAUCCCUCUGGGCAGCGAGCAAUGAUGAUAAUGACAAACAGGAUCUCUGUAUGAUGGGGCUACUGUUGUUACAGUCUCAUAUGUAUCCCAGCACAUGUAAUUUUUUAAAUAGUUUCUGAAUAAACACUUGAUAACUAUGUCAAAUAUGAGGGAUUGAAGUAAUGAUUACUCGAGGUGCACAAGACUUAGCUAUGUGUGAUUGGUGGAACCUUCAUAAUUAACAAUUUAAAAUAUACUACAUAAACUUUAUUCCUAAUAGAAAAAGUUUUCCUGUUAAUUAUAAUAAUUUCAAAAUAUACAUAUGUAUAAUUAAUGUUUUUCUUGGUUCAGGGAAGUAUGUUUUUCUGCUGCCAUUUAAUGUGCUUAUUUAUGAUAUUUCACUUGAUUACAUUAUUUCCUUACUGAAGUAUUCAUCUAAUACAAGGAGCAUGGGCUCUGGACAUCAUAAGGGAAGCAGUCACUUAAGAAGUAUGUUAUCAUGAAAGAAUAAUUACCACUUACACCAGAAGCUUUCCAGAAAUGUCCAAUUUCUGAUACCUUUGAAAAACGUGCUAAGGUUCAGUCCAGUGAAAAUGUCAAACAUAAAGUAUUAUAAGAAUUUCUUUUAGGAUGGAGACUAUAACUUAGAAAAUCUGAUCUAUAGAAUUCGGACCUAAAUUGUUUUUUUAAAGGGGAGUUAAUUCUCAGGAAUUUUUCAAUAUAUUUGAGCAAAAUAAUCUGUAGAUGCC
ensembl:lncRNA